UCACUUACCUGGCAGGGGAGAUACCAUGAACCCAAAGGUAGUUUUCCCAGGGUGAGGCUCAUCCGUUGCUUUGUAGGUGUGCUGACCCCUGCGAUUUCCCCAGGUGCAGGAGUCUCAACUGCAUGGUUUGUGUUGAUGGAGAACUGCGUUCACGCUUUCCCCCA
ensembl:snRNA U1 U1 spliceosomal RNA